GGGUUUGUGGCUCAGUGGUAGGGCACUUACCUAGCAUGUGUGAGGCACUGGGUUCGAUUCUCAGCACCA
rnacentral:tRNA from 1 species